rnacentral:rRNA from 1 species
CCUACGGGGGGCAGCAGUGGGGAAUAUUGGACAAUGGGGGGAACCCUGAUCCAGCCAUGCCGCGUGUGUGAAGAAGGCCCUCGGGUUGUAAAGCACUUUCAGUGAGGAAGAACGCCUGGUGGUUAAUACCCAUCAGGAAAGACAUCACUCACAGAAGAAGCACCGGCUAACUCCGUGCCAGCAGCCGCGGUAAUACGGAGGGUGCGAGCGUUAAUCGGAAUUACUGGGCGUAAAGCGCGCGUAGGUGGCUUGAUAAGCCGGUUGUGAAAGCCCCGGGCUCAACCUGGGAACGGCAUCCGGAACUGUCAAGCUAGAGUGCAGGAGAGGAAGGUAGAAUUCCCGGUGUAGCGGUGAAAUGCGUAGAGAUCGGGCGGAAUACCAGUGGCGAAGGCGGCCUUCUGGACUGACACUGACACUGAGGUGCGAAAGCGUGGGUAGCAAACAGGAUUAGAUACCCUAGUAGUC